rnacentral:misc_RNA from 1 species
GAUCGAAUGAUAAAUGCAACGUUAGAUCAAUCGAAAUUGCAUAUAAAUAUGCAAUUACAAUCGUAGAAGAAGAAGCAAACUUUGUCAUUCGUGUCAUGUAGGCGUUCAAGGUGACACUUUGUGAUCGUACGAUGAAUGUUCUAAUACAUACGUUUUACAAUACGUUAAACAGUGUUUUUCAAUGCGGCUGGAUUUGUGUCGACAACAUUAUACACCGCCUAUUAUAGGGAACUUGGUGACUUUUUAAUAUCUACAGAAAAGAUAAGAAGUUACGCAACAAGAAAUAUUAUACGUGUUGAUAUACCUUUCCAAAAAUGGACUAUUACUAACGUUAGUACGCGUAAACGAAUGGAGAGAAAGGCUUUCGAGAAAUUUGAAAACUCACACGGGGGAUCUCUAUCGAAGGAGGAAGGAACGAACGCGUCCAAUUCACUUUACUCGCCGAAACGCUUGCAAAUUUAAUGUAAGCUUCAACAAAGACUGAUCGAUGUUACGAGACACUAAAGAACUCGGUAGAGAGAGGGAGAGAGAGAGAGAGAGAAAGAGACAAUCAUCGUUCUAGAAAAACUGACUAGCAUUCGUACAUGAACGUCUGCACAGCAAUGAUAAGCGAGACGCGACGUUACGUUACGCAAAAAUCAAUUUCUUACGAAUCGAGGUCAGAUACAAACAUGUACAGGUAUAUUUGUAAUUCGUUCUUUUGUCUUUAUAAUUGAGAAUUACUAUAUGCCUUAAUUUUUUGUGUCAACAUUAGUUUGUUACAUCGAGAAUUAAACGAAAGUUGGAAAUAACGAAUUCCAUGACAUUGGUAAUAUUAAAACAACGCUUUAGGAGGUGUACGUGAUAUUAAAACGAUUGAUCUUUUUAUCUUUAAAUACGAUGAUUAGAAGCGAUGGGAAAC